UUAAUUUAAAUUAUUAUUAUUAUGUGAUUGUGGUUUCUUGUAAUAGAGAGACAGAUCUACGGUAUCACAAUCUGUAAUAAUCUGGGUGUACAGAAUUUUGAGUGAGGUUAGGGAAUGCAAGAAACUUUUGAGGUGUAUCCCACUUGGCUGAGAUACUACCAUUUCAAGUCGCUCCCGUCACGGCUGCCACGGCAUGUUAACCUCCCACUGUGCUUGGAAAACGGCAUUUUUUCCGGCUCGAUGCACAAACAGUAUUUUUCCGGGCUGUUGCAAUAGAGCAUUGGCGUUCAAAUCCAAGUAGACAACUGGUCAAGCACGUGAGUAAAAGAAACAAUAUGGCAAGAGCAUCUUGCACGGUUGAAAAAAUUUAUUUAAAAAAGUAGUGAAUUCUCUAGGAAAUAAUAUAGAAUUUUCAUAAUACUACUUCUUCUUGUAUUGAUUUCAUUGGAAUGUUGAAUAUAAAACAAUCUAUAUUACUGAGAUGAAUUUACGUCUACGCAUACAGGUUGAAAAAAAAUACAUUGUUUCUUUUUCACGACUCGAAUUUGGUUCCACGGGCAAAAAAGAAAAUGAAGCCUACUAUUCAGGAGGAUGAUAAAAGCAGUGUAUUAUAAAAUUUUUAUUUGCUGAUGAAGUUGUAAAUAGUUCAGCUAUGAGAGUGAUAUUUCGAUGGUUCAAGAUUAGUGCUCCUGUGAUAUAGCAGUGAUGCGGGAUUUUAUAUCUAUCACGGUGAACUUGCUUCAGUCAUGAGCGUAACGGUGUUCAAAGGUAAUACCGAGGUCGUUUACCGUUGUGCGAUCCACAAACUCCAGGGAGAUAUCUCUCAGUAGAAUAUACUGAAUGUAAGCUGGUAUUUUGCCUUCAUCUCUAACUUUUUCCUUUUUUUUUUUUAAUCUCUCACAUGAUGUUUCUCUGGUGGCCAAUUCUCCUUUCGUAUUGAACAUAACUUCCUGGAUUCUUACUCAUUCUCAUCGGUAAAUAAAUUAACGUACUUACUGAAUUUUCAAUAUUUGUGUCCUUAAAGUACGUUAUUCACGUGAAAUGAUGAAGGAUAAAAUGGAUGAUGCCUACUUAGGAAGCAAUUAUUUAUUAAAAAAUUUUAUAUGACUUCAUCUGUUAAUCAAACAAAUAAAAAUACUCUUCAAUGGUAAAAAAAACUUAAAUUUAAUAAACCUGUCAUCAUGAAUUCAGAUUUCCUGUCAUUGGCAUUUGGUGCUGUUUUUUGCCUGAGUUGUGAGAUAUUUCCUAACCGCACUUGAAUCAUAAGGAUGGUUCUGUUUCAACCAAAAUGAGCAAUCAAUUCCUGCAUGAGGAAUCUUAACAAUUGGGGAUAAGUCCUUACAAAUAAAGGGUUCCUUUAUGGGUGUAUAUGCUUAUCGCAAUUCUAUGUGAUUAAUCGCAUAUGUUCGGAUAUAAUAACGAAAUAGUAAUCUAGAUUGUUGGAAAGCUUGAAUAGUGGCUUCAUACUACCUGCAAUGGAAUGAUGCAUGCGGGUACUUUGACCUCAUUCGUUAUAUUCAAAAGACACGGUUGAUGAUUUACUAAUGGAUUUUACAUGGUGAGAAAAAAAAUGCUCGAGGAAGCAAUAUAGAAAUAAGGUAUAUGCAGAUCGCUACGUCAUUUGAAUGCGCAAUGUUCUGGUCAUUACUCCCGCGUAGCCCGCGUGGCCAGCGUAAUAAUAAACAUUUAUUCUACUUUUAUCAUUCCAAAUACCUAUGUAGCAGUAAUAUCGUAAAUAUUAAAAAAAUAUUGGUUACCUUUCGAUACGUCAUUCGUUUGGAACAGGUUUGCCAAAUGUGACAGCGUUUUUUUUUGUCAUUCAGUCAUUUAGAAAAAGUUAUUUAAAAACAAAUUAUUGAGUAACCUGGAAUUUUUAAUAUUUUCAUGAAAAAAAUAAUACCAACUGAAAGUUUUUCAUUAUUUCCUUAUUGUUUUUGAAAAUUAUAAUAUUUUCCUUUAAAAUGGCAGAUUUAUGUUUCUUCAUAUUACAAGUUUAGAUUGUGGCUAUGUUUGCAUGAAAGUGGCAGUGUUGAUGAUGAGAGGUGUAAAAAUAAGUACUCAACAUUAAAGAGUCCUACUGCAAAGAAAAAUAAGGAAAGAGAGUUAUCGGAGGAAUGGCGGGAAAGAAUCCCUAUGAAUUUACUACCUAGAAAAUUCUUGGAUGAAUUGCGUUUAGUAACUACGGACGAUUGAACCAAGUGGGAGACGAACGGAAAUGCGUGUAAGUUGUGUAGGUAUUAUGUAGACGAUGGAAGGUUGCUCUGCUAGUAUUUGUUAAACGUUGCGCGAGUUCUCGGUCAGGGCUGGCUGCCAGGAAAGAGAAGGGGGAGAACAUAAGGUCAAUGUCCAGGCGGCGCCUAAGAUCCUUCUCCUUGUGAGACAGUUGAGGCAGGUCAUGAUCAAGCAUUGCGGUGGGAAGCAUUGAUUCCAACACUCCUCACAAUUCCUUUUUUACGGAGAAAUGUGAAAAAAUAUUUCUAUCUAAAGUUUGAAAGCUUGAGUGAUUUUGAAUAUUGCACAUGAAAUUUUAUUUCCACUGGCAACAAUCUGAAUCCUAGAAUAUACUCACUAUUUCCUUUCAUUAUUUUGGACUAUGUAUAAAUUCUGCAUUAUCAGCAAUAAUGUGCUUAAAAAUAAGGACAUACAGUCAACUUUCAACGAUAAAUGUGAAAGAAAAACAAUGCAUAAUCGAAUAAACAGGUGAGAAGUCAAUGAAAUGAAGGAAGAAGUUCAAAUUCAAUUUUAUCCAUGAAAAAGUAGUAGCUAAUUAUGUAUUGUUCAAAAACUUAUAUUGUUAUAAUUAAAUGUUGAUUGAAUGAGUUGAUGAAAUGCAAGGACGCAACUGACUCAGGCAUUGAACUCGCCAAGUCGUAUGCACUUAUUCUCAUAGACUUAUAUACUUAUUCAAAUACUCGUCAAUGCUUGCACCUACCAAGACAUUGCAAAUGAAGAUCAUUUAAAAAAAAUUCAUUUUGAAUGCAGUUCCAAGUGGAUGCAAGUGAUUUCAUAAUUUAAUAAGGUAAUAAUUGAAAAAUAUAUCCAUUUUCUUUUGGUGGAAGACGAUACCAGUAUCCGCUAUCCCGGGACUAUUAUCUGAAGAUAGAGCUUGGUGAGCUCUACGGGGAAAUUACGAACGCUGAGUUAGGGUCAAGGACCGACAUUUGUAGGCUCUCGCAGCAAUGAAAAUCUUUCUUUAGAGAAUUUACAUCUUAUCCAAUUAUAGGAAUUCAAUAUGCACAUAUAAUGAGCAAAGAAGUUUGAGGUUUUCUGAGAAUUAUGAGAUGAAUUUAAAAGUAAGUGAUGUUAUUUGCACUUAUUCAUAUAAUAACUAAACAGGGACGUAAUCAUGAUUUUACGAUGAUAGAUAUUUUCAGGCUAAUGAUCAUUAAUCAGAAAAUAUUAAAUUAGAUUGUGAAAAUAUAUUUUCUCUUAUUUCAAAAUGAUUAUUGGAGAGAAUAUUCCUUUUCCCGCUUUAAUAUGUAUUAACUAGAGUGUACUCCGGCUUUUAUCAUCGAAACCACCAUCAGUUCACUCAACGGCUUUUUCAGUAAACGAAAUGUCGCUUACUUGGUAGUGAGUGGUUUCUUUGUAGCGCACACAGCGCACACCAUGUGUACAUUGUGAGAAUGGAUAUAAGAAAGAGCGUACCCUUGCAGUACAAAAAUUUUUGUCAAAUAGGACCAAAUGUGAAGUUCUGUCGCCGUGGCGGUUAUGAGGCUGGACUUUAUAAACCUACAGCGGUUGCUGAACAUGAACAUUUCAUAGGGACUCACGGAUUCGUUAGCUCUGUUGGAAGUAUUCACAGCGAUUGGACGGCCGAGUAGCGGUACUGCAUGGUAGAUCUUCAACCACACCAACUUGUAUGAUGAUGAUGAUAUUUUACCUCUCCGAUGACCAAUGUAUCUUUUGAGGCCACAGAGUCAGGACGAUGUGGCGUAGUUCGAUUUUUGUUGUCAUUUUUUUUCUUUACUUGAGGAUCAUCUUUGUCGACAGGGUUGUUUAAAUGGUAUAAUACUUUAUGUAGCCUAGUAACAUCUUCUGUGGAAAUCCUUUCAUUGCCUAAAAUACACCUUUACAUUUUGGACUAGUAGAAGAUGUGUACGAGCAUUGGACUAUUUCGUUUGUUUUCUCUGUCGUUCUGGUAAAUAAAAAACAUCCUAUGCAGUCUUCGUUCAAGGGUUGUUUAAAUGCUAGAGGGCGGCGUAGAAGGCAGCGGAAAAUGGAGGCCUGUGAUCCCCAGCUAUGUAUGUUAGAAUGAAUAUUAAUAUUCAAGUUGUAUCUCUGGGUCAACUAAAUCAUUCAUACUCUCGAUUAAGAAUGGGUGAUGUGAGAUGAGAAAUAACAACAAAAUGGGUCAGAUUAAACGUUGAAAUUUUAUCCUGUUAUAUCAUCAGUUAAACUCAAUAUUAAUCAGUCGAUAUUGUAGAUUUCUUUCUAUCAAAUAAUGCAACCAAGCUCGCUUGACACUGAAAACUAUAAACUUAAAUCAAACAUAAGAUCCAUGUGAAUUCCUAUAAAAAAUCAAACUACUGCAUCAUUCAUAAUGGCUUAUCAAUCCUAUACCUUUUAUUUGCACGUCUGCUGACAUUUCCUUCUUAGGAAUGCACUCCAGGCCAAUCCCCAUACUACCCAUACUAUAUGUAUUGAUAAACCCUUUAAAUGGAACGAGAAUAAAUAUUCAGGUGUGUUUGAUCUCGUGGGGCCUGGUCAAAUUUUUUUGAGGCUCUUGAAUUUAGUUUUGAUCGAUAGGGACGUAAUUAAUAUUAUAUGAACAGCAACGUAUAUUAAGGCAAUUCUAUGAAGGUGUAAAUAUUAUAAAAUUCUAAUGAGAUUGCUUGUAAAAGCAGUACAAUUAUCUGAUAACUUUAUCAACACCGGGAAAAGCAUUGCAUCUUUAUAAAAUAUAUAUACUAGGAAUAUUUUAAAAUUAUAAGAAAUUGGUGGAGUUUCUCCCUUGGUUAUCAGGGAUUUUGUCAUUUCAUUUUGAUUCGCUAGGGAUAUGUAGUUACGAUGCAAUAACUCCUUCAUCAAUUAUUUCUACUUUUACAUCCAUUCAGAGUAACAUAGGUGAGUUUGCGUCAAGGUCAUGGAGAGUCCAGUUACUGAGGUGAGCGAGUCUAUUUAUGGUAGGCGAGAGCAAUGUUUGCGUGAGGAUGAUACCCUUUGUUCGAUCAUGAUAUCAAAGAUGAAAAAUAAUUCAAUCUAGACUAAAACUGACAACAGUGUCUUAUAUUUUUCAAAUGUAAUUUCCGUUCUACUUUUGAUGUGAAAAUACCAUAAAAGAAUAACUAAAAAAAACAUCCUAUUAUAAUAGCCCUUUAUUUAUUUUUUUUUGUGCUGUUCAAUAGACGCUUGGAAAAUGCAUUUUUUUUCGAUCUUUGAAUUUUAUUUCGAUGCGACUCAGCAUGAUGUUUAAGCAAUAUGCAAGUGUAUAUCUAUUAUUUAUGUGUACGUCAGCGUGUAUGCCUGGUAGUAUGCCCUCUAAACUUCGGUGGAUGCACAAACGAGUUAAAUUGGCAUGAAGCGUGACCAGUGUCUCCACUUUUGUGCUUCCGUAUUUGUAAAUUAAUUGCUAUCACAAUCCCGCUAUUUGUGUCGUUGAACAUUAUUCAUCAAUUAUCUCUUAUAAGGGAAAAUUAUGUUAUUUAUCAAAAUGACUUUCUUUGAAAAGAUUUUCGUUUUUUAUGUACACAGAAUACUGUGAAUUUUUUGUGUCAACCUAUAAAAGGUUCUGUGGAAUAUUUCCUUUUGUAUGAUCUUAUUGACUUCGUUGAGCUGGUAAAAUAGAGAACCUGUAUUUCAAAACAUACACCAAGGGCAAAGUCGUUGGUGACGGGCAUCUAUGGGGCAGGGUAGGGGGAGCGGCAGCGCUAUGCUCGACGGGAAAGCGAGUUUAUUCCUAUACUAAAGUCAGUAUAAGUUUUAACAUCGGGUAUAACCCGAAGUCGCCCCUCACUUUUUCGCGCAUGCGCCAUGAAGCUAGUCUUCCGCCAAGGGCCUACUUUCAUAUUGUGUGCGCGUUUUUUGAAUUAAAAAAAUCCCACGAGAAAUUAUAAAUAUUUUUUCAUUCUGAACUGUAAAAUUUUUAUUCUUCAAUGGAGAGAACUGUAUUAGUGAAUAGCAUGAUUAUACGCUUUUAGACUUGAGGUUAUAUUAAAAUAUAAAAGUUUCAAUAAAAUUAAAAUUAAGAUAA